AAUAUAACGCUAUUUGUUAAUAUUUCAAGAUAAAACUGUCGUCGGCUGCAUUAAAACGCUUUAUCUAACAGAAAAAGUUUUCAAGGCUAGACCCAAUCCCCCUCACGGUUAUCCAAGAUGGCGGCUUAUAUUGGCAUUAUUGGCAUAAUAUACGUUGUGACGUCGUCAUGCGACGCUAUCGCCGACUUACUCGUUUGAGGUUCUCUCUCGACUGUCGCUGCUGUUUCUCGUACUCGUCCCUACUCUCCUGGAUCACCAGACGCGUGUAUAACUCCUCGCGGUACCCUGGAUAUCAUUACAUAGGUGUUUACAUACAGAUUUAUGAGAGAGCUAUUGUAAGGCACGAUAUUGUGUCCGCAAUAAACAGACUAUUGUCAGUUUUGGUAAAAUUGAUAUCAUCAAUUAAAACCCCGAUUUGCCAAGCCAAAGCCAAA